UGCCGCGUGGAUGAAGUGCCACAGCCCAUUCUUCGGAUUUGAAUUCUUCACCAACCCAGCCCACCACCUUCCUCUUCAUCGUUAGCAUUCAGAGAAAGGAAAAAGCACCCUUAAAACCCAACUAUGCUGGUGGCAUUUGUUCACGUCGAACCUCACAAAUAGCAGGUAAAAAAUUCCUGUUUGAGCCCGUUUGAGUAGCCCUACUGAGUUUUGUAGCAGAAGCAUUUUAGCAGCAGCUAUGGAGCGGUCAAAGAAGCGCAGCAGGGAUUUUCAGAUGGACAAUAACUUUACAGCAGAAGAAAUGGAAGCAGUGGAUGCUCUGCUAAGGCUUUGUGAUUUGGGUUGGUUUUUUGUUCAGUGGGGAGUCAAAAGGAGGUGAUCUUCUAUCGCUAGAAGUGGCUUUAGUGACACCCACAUUACCCACCAAUCCAAACUGUUUAACAGAAAUCCUUUGACGACACAUAAGGAAUUGAAAGAAACGGUGAAUCUCUUCAGAAAAGAGCAUAUUGAAAAAGGAGGAAGAGCAACUGAUGAAAACCUAUCAGGAGCUACGAGAAUGGACCCAUCAAUUAAAAUCACAGCAUGCCCUCAUCAAAUACAAGAGCAAAAGCUGCUCUCCACUCAGCCAACAUCGUCCGAUAGGGGCUCAAGAAUGGUACAAAAACUUUUAUAUCUGAUUUGAAUGCUCCUACCGAAGCUAUGUGACAUAAUUCCAAAUAGUUUCCAUGAAGAAACGCUUCUUUAAGCAAGAAAGUUGAUGCUGCUGAAGCAAGGAGGCGUAAAGUUUGAUCAAGCUGAAUUAUGCAGGGGCUAAUCUGUACUGCAUUAAAAUUUGAGAGCUCUACGAGUAGAAUCUAUAAAUAAAAGUGGGUUAGUCAAUUUUUCACAUUAUUCAGUUUAAUAGAGAUUCUUUUGAUUUUUUGUCUGUCCUUUCAAAUAAUUUAGAAUGAAAAAGUGUUGAUGAAAUGUAUCUUGCAACCCAAGGGGGUCACUGAGAAACCCUGUUGCU